rnacentral:rRNA from 1 species
AAUGAACGCUGGCGGCAUGCCUAACACAUGCAAGUCGAACGAAGGCUUCGGCCUUAGUGGCGCACGGGAGCGUAACGCGUGGGAAUCUGCCCUUGGGUUCGGAAUAACUCAGAGAAAUUUGAGCUAGUACCGGAUGAUGACGAAAGUCCAAAGAUUUAUCGCCCAAGGAUGAGCCCGCGUAGGAUUAGCUAGUUGGUGAGGUAAAGGCUCACCAAGGCGACGAUCCUUAGCUGGUCUGAGAGGAUGAUCAGCCACACUGGGACUGAGACACGGCCCAGACUCCUACGGGAGGCAGCAGUGGGGAAUAUUGGACAAUGGGCGAAAGCCUGAUCCAGCAAUGCCGCGUGAGUGAUGAAGGCCUUAGGGUUGUAAAGCUCUUUUACCCGGGAUGAUAAUGACAGUACCGGGAGAAUAAGCUCCGGCUAACUUCGUGCCAGCCGCCGCCGUAAAAC